AGUGAACGCUGGCGGUAGGCCUAACACAUACAAGUCGAACGGCAGCACAGUAAGCGCUUGCUCUUACGGGUGGCGAGUGGCGGACGGGUGAGGAAUACAUCGGCAUCUACUUUUUCGUGGGGGAUAACGUAGGGAAACUUACGCUAAUACCGCAUACGACCUACGGGUGAAAGCAGGGGAUCUUCGGACCUUGCGCGAUUGAAUGAGCCGAUGUCGGAUUAGCUAGUUGGCGGGGUAAAGGCCCACCAAGGCGACGAUCCGUAGCUGGUCUGAGAGGAUGAUCAGCCACACUGGAACUGAGACACGGUCCAGACUCCUACGGGAGGCAGCAGUGGGGAAUAUUGGACAAUGGGCGCAAGCCUGAUCCAGCCAUACCGCGUGGGUGAAGAAGGCCUUCGGGUUGUAAAGCCCUUUUGUUGGGAAAGAAAAGCAGCAGGUUAAUACCCCGCUGUUCUGACGGUACCCAAAGAAUAAGCACCGGCUAACUUCGUG
rnacentral:rRNA from 1 species